rnacentral:rRNA from 1 species
CAGCAGCCGCGGGAAUACAGAGGAUGCAAGCGUUAUCCGGAAUGAUUGGGCAUAAAGUGUCUGUAGGUGGCUUUUCAAGUCCGCCGUCAAAUCCCAGGGCUCGACCGCGGACAGGCGGUGAAAACUACCAAGCUGGAGUAUGGUAGGGGCAGAGGGAAUUUCCGGUGGAGCGGUGAAAUGCGUUGAGAUCGGAAAGAACACCAACAGCGAAAUCACUCUGCUGGGCCGACACUGACACUGAGAGACGAAAGCUAGGGGAGCAAAUGGGAUUAGAUACCCCGGUAGUCCCUGUCUCUUAUAA